CAGAACAGAUCUUUGCUCAGCGGUAUCUUAUGCAGGAGGAAAUUUGUUCCCUAAUUGGUAGCAGUCCCAGAAUGCAAUUCACUGAUUGACAAUAUUAAUGUGGAAACAAGUAUCACGCAAGAUGCUGAUGGUGUUAAAUAAGUGAUUAAAAAAGGAUUUGUGAUGAGGGAAGAGAUGAAAGAGGGAGAGGAAAAUAAAACAAUAAGACAUAACCUCAGACCCUGGCCCAAAAUGGGAAUCUAUUUACUUUGAGAUAAGACCAUACAGUAGAGCAAAUAAAUCUAAAUCUGUGUGGGUGUGCGCAUGCGCGCGCAUGCGCAUACAUGUGUACGUGUGAGUGCAUAUGUGCUUUGUGUAUAUGAGUAAAGGUUUGUUUCUCUAUUUAUAUUCAGAUCGGGUGUGGAGCUAUAUGUGAAAUAGAGUUUCUGGGUGGGGCAUAUACCUACACAAUUGUGAAAGCUUGUUUCAGAGUUUGCGGCUGUAUCUGUGUUUGUAUAUGUAGCCUGGGGGUGAAAGAUGGCUGUAUUUGCAUUGGACGAGUCUGUAUUUCCAUUUGAGAGACAAAGCACAGGAAAUGAUGUGUCUGGGUGAGUGUGUACGUGUCAGUGUGUUUCUGUGUGUGCUGGCAUCUGGGCUUGUGUGGUUUCUGGAAGCAUGAGUCUGUGAUAUGCGGUCACGUGUAUUUCUGAGUCUAUGUAAGGGGUGUGAUAGACAGGCAAUACACUUCUCUGGCUAUAUUACUAUGCAGCGUCUCUAACCAUCUACCUCCAUGUGAAAGUCAGACUGAAUUUGCCUGUCUGCUACUCAGAGAGGGGCUCAGUAGGCAGGGCAGGAUAUGCUGACAGUGUGGGAAUCCAAGAUAUGUGUGGACCGGGAUGGUGGGGGGAAGUGUAUCAGAAGAGUAAAUGGUGUUUGAAAAAUCCCCAGACAGAAACAGAACAAGUCCUCUUGGCUCCCAGGUAAAUGUCUCCAGUGCCACAGUCUAGGGCAUGGUGUGAAAUUCCAGGAAAGGAACUGGCAGAGGCGUCAUUCAAUCUCCCUCCCUGUCCCACACACUGUUGACUGUUCUGCGUGUCCUGCUGUAAACAGACACUACUGCCCACAACACGCAGGACGUCUGCUCCAGGGGCUGAGGUCCCGGGAGUCUCAAGAAUUCUGCACCUAGCUCCUCACCAUGGUCUGGUGCCAGAGGAAGCACUCCCCUCUCCCCAGAGGCACCUCCCCGUCACCCCCCAGGAGUACAAGAGCCCCUCUGCAGCCACAUGCUACCAUCAGGAGGAACCUGUCUGCCAGUUUUGGGUUUACCUUGAUCUCAGUCUUGCAAUCCAAGCUGCGGAAAGUCUCAUUUCCACCUGGCAAGAAAAGCAGCACUGAUAUCCUGGCCCUCAUCUGACAACCAGCACUGAAACAGGCUUUUUUCACACUGAGGUCCUGAUGGCAGUGGCAUGGUUGAGUCUGGGGGCAACAUUUUCCCUUGAACAAUCAAUGGCACUUAAGAUCCUAAACCCAUUAGGUCACUUUUGGAAAUGUUGCCCCACAGAGUGCUGGCCUCUUGCCAGCUGACUGAACCCAGUGGGAGGCUUCCAAAGUGGUGGCCUUUUCUUUGAAAGACUGCUCAGCUAUUAAAGCCCUUAUUACUAUACUUAACAACUGGCUUAUUUUAGAAUUAUCCAUGCUCAGAUUGGCUGUGUAGCAAUUAAUGGACAGCCUGUCUAAUCCCAGGAACAGCCAGAGCUCACUGAGGGAGACCAGGCUA